CCUACGGGAGGCAGCAGUGGGGAAUAUUGCGCAAUGGGCGAAAGCCUGACGCAGCGACGCCGCGUGAGGGAUGACGGCCUUCGGGUUGUAAACCUCUUUCAGCAGGGACGAAGCGAAAGUGACUGUACCUGCAGAAGAAGCACCGGCUAACUACGUGCCAGCAGCCGCGGUAAUACGUAGGGUGCAAGCGUUGUCCGGAAUUAUUGGGCGUAAAGAGCUCGUAGGCGGUCUGUCGCGUCGGAUGUGAAAACUUGGGGCUCAACCCCAAGCCUGCAUUCGAUACGGGCAGACUUGAGUUCGGUAGGGGAGACUGGAAUUCCUGGUGUAGCGGUGAAAUGCGCAGAUAUCAGGAGGAACACCGAUGGCGAAGGCAGGUCUCUGGGCCGACACUGACGCUGAGGAGCGAAAGCGUGGGGAGCGAACAGGAUUAGAUACCCCUGUAGUC
rnacentral:rRNA from 1 species